rnacentral:rRNA from 1 species
GCACAAGCGGUGGAGCAUGUGGUUUAAUUCGAUGAUACGCGAGGAACCUUACCUGGGCUAGAAUGCUAGUGGACCGGCUGUGAAAGCAGUCUUCCCCGCAAGGGGCCGCUAGUAAGGUGCUGCAUGGCUGUCCUCAGCUCGUGCCGUGAGGUGUUGGGUUAAGUCCCGCAACGAGCGCAACCCCCAUCAGUAGUUGCCAUCAGGUAACGCUGGGAACUCUACUGAAACUGCCGUCGUAAGACGCGAGGAAGGAGGGGAUGAUGUCAAGUCAUCAUGGCCUUUAUGCCCAGGGCUACACACGUGCUACAAUGGGGCGUACAAAGGGCUGCCACUUAGCGAUAAGGAGCCAAUCCCAAAAAACGCCUCUCAGUUCAGAUUGGAGUCUGCAACUCGACUCCAUGAAGCUGGAAUCGCUAGUAAUCGUAUAUCAGCAAUGAUACGGUGAAUACGUUCCCGGGC